GUUUAGGCCCCUCGUCUAUUCCCCCCUUCAAAUUUGGGUUGAGGCCGCGUUCUCCCGACGCUCUCAGAUCCCUGACUUCGCCUUCCCUUCGAGCCCUAAUCUUGAUCCAAACCCUAGCUCCCGUGAUCGUAGAUGGGGAGGACCAUGGCGUCGAAGAAGAGGAAGGCUUCGGCAGCCGUCGCAAGAGAGGAAGAGGCCAGCACCAGCGGCGGUAGCAAGUCGCCGGAGGAGCUCCAGAAGGAGUCGAACAAGGGCGCCGCCAGAGGGAAGCGGGUCAAGGCGGCGAAGCCCAAGCCGGAGCCCGAGUACUUCCCUGAGAAACGGAACAUGGAAGAUCUUUGGCAAGCGGCUUUCCCAGUUGGGACUGAGUGGGAUAACAUGGAUAAAAUUGGUGAGAUAAAUUGGAGCUUUUCCAAUUUAGAGAAUGCGGUUGAGGAGGGAGGUGAGCUGCAUGGGAAGACAGUUUACAUAUUUGGCAGCACUGAAGCUCAAAUGUUGGCUGUAAAUGGUGAAGAGAAAGUUGUGCUUAUCCCUGUUGUUGUGGCUGUGGUUUCUCCAAUUCCACCAUCUGAUAAAAUUGGUGUAAAAUCUGUCCAAAGGGAAAAAGAAGACAUAAUACCCAUGAAGGCAAUGAAAAUGGCAUGGGUUCCAUACAUUCCACUUGAAGAUCGUCAAAGUCAAGUUGAUAGGCUGAAGACUCAAAUAUUUACAAUUGGCUGCACACAGAGAAGAUCUGCGUUAAAACUUCUAAAAAUUGAGCGUGUCAAACAAUAUGACUAUUGUCUUCCUUACCUUCAGCCACUAAAAGCUGAUGAAGAUGAGGAUGAUACAGUUGUUAACAUAAUGUUUCCUUUAGAACCUCCGAUCGUCUGUGAUUUUGAUUGGGAGAUGGAUGAUCUUGAGGAAUUUACUGGUGAACUCAUUUCAGAGGAAACAUUACCAGAAGAUAAGAAAGAUGAGUUUAAGGAGUUUGUGAAGGAGCAAGUUAGAGAAAGGAGGAAAUCUCAGCGACUGGCAAAGGAAGCCAGGAAAAAAAAUAUAGAAGAUAUGGAUCCGGAGACAAGAUCUGCUUUUGAGAAUAUGAAGUUGUAUAAGUUUUACCCUGAUCAAACAUCAGACAUACCUGACAUUAGCAAAGUAAAGGUAUCAUAUAUAAACAGGUACUAUGGAAAAGCUCAUUUUCUGAGGUAGAUUCAGUCUUCGGUCUCUGCAAUGGUUGGAUCUCACACUGACGUGGCCGAUAAGCACCAGCCUGCUUCUAGUGGAUCAGCUGAAGCCUCAAAAUUUCAGAUGACAUAAAAAGGAGGGCUUUUGUCCAAUUAUUGCUGUGGUGCCUCGAGUUUGGAAGUGGGUAUCGACCGUCACAUUGUCAUGGUCCAGGCAUGGAAUCUAACUUUUGUCCUGCCCUAUUGAUGUCUUCCAUUUGGUCGCAUGUCAUUGUCUCUGCUCGAUUCUCUUCAACAUUUCUUUCACGAACAAAUAGAUUGAACUUGUUUAAAGUCUUUUAGUUUGACCUUUGUGUCGUGUUUCAGACUUGAAAACUAGUGACAUAUAUAUGAUUCAUUCUCGAAGGAACUACCUACCUUCUUUUUUGAAUUACCUAAAUCAUUAAUUCUCCUUUAAUAAGAGGGGAAGCUUCUCGAUGGGUUUUAGAUACGCUCAAAGCAGGCAGGCAGGCUUAGAAGGUGACAAUUGUCAUAAGCCUACUGACAGAUUCUAGCUUAUUCUUAGGAAGUAGUUAGUUAAUUUAAAGACCAGCUAACUAUAUAAAAUUUUUUGUCAUAUAUAAAGUGUUGAUAGGCUUGUACCGACCGCCACCCUUAUUCUUUCAUAUAUUUUUUGUCAUGUGAUGAGAUGUGAUGGGAAGAAUCAGAAUCCCUUUUCUUUCUCUUGUCAUUCUAAAAGAAGAUACCCGGUGGAAGGGGUAGAUUUUUUGUUUCAUUUAUUGAUGACAAAUAAAUAUACACAAGGCAUGCCAGAAAACUUAGAUACGUUAGUAUUAUAGUUGGAUGAAAUUUUAAGCAUUAACCAGAUCAGAUCAGAGUUAUUUAUUAUCUUCGUAGAGUUUUGUAGCAAGCAAAAUGAAAUUAUCUUCUACUUCAAUUGAUUGCUCUUCUUCUUCUUUUUUUUUUUGUUGUGUAUUCUCCAUUGACUUUUACUGUGUACACACCAAAUUAUGCAAACACAACAGUAUACAUAAGAAGGAUGUCAAAGGAUGCAACAGUUAGAAGCAUCAGCAUAUGUCCACACUGUGUUUUGGAGCUGGUCGCUCUCUCUCUCUUUCUUCGUUGCGUAUGGUUUACCCAUCUCAACAAGAACCUUUGCCGUGUUGGCUUUAUGUCCGCGUCAAACAGCCGUCCCACCUCUUCGACAUUCCCCCCCUCCUUUCUCGGCUUUAAAGACGAACUCCCCCCAACCCAAAGCCUUCCUCAAGGGCCUUUCUACUCUUCACACUAGGGCAUCCAUGAAGGGGAGGAGGAGCCGUCACCACUUGGGCACCGGCGGCAGCCACCAGCUGGUGUCGGACGACGAGUCGGGGCACGCCUCGGACUCGUCCCCCAAAGAGCAAGAUCGCUUCCUGCCCGUCGCCAACGUGAGCCGCAUCAUGAAGCGGUCGCUGCCGGCCAACGCCAAGAUCUCCAAGGAGGCCAAGGAGACGGUGCAGGAGUGCGUGUCGGAGUUCAUCAGUUUCAUCACCGGGGAGGCCUCCGACAAGUGCCAGCGCGAGAAGCGGAAGACCAUCAACGGCGACGACCUCCUAUGGGCCAUGACCACGCUCGGCUUCGACAGCUACGUCGGCCCCCUCAAGGCCUACCUCAACAAGUACCGAGAGACGGAGGGGGAGAAGAACCUCAUGGCCCGCCACGGCGAGCCCCCCUCCAAUGAUCCCGACGACGCCUCCCCCGCCAUCCCUUCCUUCGCCGCGUCCGGAUUCUACUCCGUCGGCGAAGCCUGGGAUCAACGAAAGAAGUAGAACACACUGCUCUCUCUCUCUCUCUCUCCAUGUGUGCAGCUCUCUGCAUUCCCCAGCCGCAGAAGCUUUACUCUCGUCUUGCUUCCUUACCUUACCAAUGGUAGUAGUAGUAGUAGUAUUGCUUUA